GCCUGGGUGGCUCAGUUGGUUAAGCGUCUGACUUCAGCUCAGGUCAUGAUCUCACGAUUUGUGGGCUCAAGCCCUGUAUCAGGCU
rnacentral:tRNA from 1 species